rnacentral:rRNA from 1 species
UACGAAGGGGGCUAGCGUUGCUCGGAAUUACUGGGCGUAAAGCGCACGUAGGCGGCUUCUUAAGUCGGGGGUGAAAUCCUGGAGCUCAACUCCAGAACUGCCUUCGAUACUGGGAGCUCGAGUCCGGGAGAGGUGAGUGGAACUGCGAGUGUAGAGGUGAAAUUCGUAGAUAUUCGCAAGAACACCAGUGGCGAAGGCGGCUCACUGGCCCGGUACUGACGCUGAGGUGCGAAAGCGUGGGGAGCAAACAGGG